rnacentral:rRNA from 1 species
AGAGUUUGAUCCUGGCUCAGAUUGAACGCUGGCGGCAUGCCUUACACAUGCAAGUCGAACGGGCUUUGGGGCUUGCCUCAAAGUUAGUGGCGAACGGGUGAGUAAUAUAUCGGAACGUACCCUUGAGUGGGGGAUAACCAGUCGAAAGAUUGGCUAAUACCGCAUACGAUCUAAGGAUGAAAGUGGGGGACCUUCGGGCCUCAUGCUCCUGGAGCGGCCGAUAUCUGAUUAGCUAGUUGGUAGGGUAAAAGCCUACCAAGGCUUCGAUCAGUAGCUGGUCUGAGAGGACGAUCAGCCACACUGGGACUGAGACACGGCCCAGACUCCUACGGGAGGC